rnacentral:rRNA from 1 species
AGAAAGAAGGCCUCUCUUUGAAGCUUUCGCUAUUAGAUGAGCCUGCGUAAGAUUAGCUUGUUGGUGAGGUAAAGGCUCACCAAGGCUACGAUCUUUAGCUGGUCUGAGAGGACGAUCAGCCACAUUGGGACUGAGACACGGCCCAGACUCCUACGGGAGGCAGCAGUGGGGAAUAUUGGACAAUGGGCGCAAGCCUGAUCCAGCCAUACCGCGUGUGUGAAGAAGGCCUUCGGGUUGUAAAGCACUUUAAGCAGGGAGAAAAAGUUAUAGGUUAAUACCCUAUGACCCUGAUGUUACCUGCAGAAUAAGCACCGGCUAAUUCCGUGCCAGCAGCCGCGGUAAUACGGAAGGUGCAAGCGUUAAUCGGAAUUACUGGGCGUAAAGCGCGCGUAGGUGGUUUGUUAAGUUGGAUGUGAAAGCCCUGGGCUCAACCUAGGAACUGCAUCCAAAACUAACUCACUAGAGUACGAUAGAGGGAGGUAGAAUUCAUAGUGUAGCGGUGGAAUGCGUAGAUAUUAUGAAGAAUACCAGUGGCGAAGGCGGCCUCCUGGAUCUGUACUGACACUGAGGUGCGAAAGCGUGGGUAGCGAACAGGAUUAGAUACCCUGGUAGUCCACGCCGUAAACGAUGACAACUAGCUGUUGGGAGACUAUGUCUUUCAGUGGCGCAGCUAACGCUUUAAGUUGUCCGCCUGGGGAGUACGGCCGCAAGGCUAAAACUCAAAUGAAUUGACGGGGACCCGCACAAGCGGUGGAGCAUGUGGUUUAAUUCGAUGCAACGCGAAAAACCUUACCUACUCUUGACAUACUUGGAAGCUCUUGUAAUGAGAGUGUGCCUUU